rnacentral:hammerhead_ribozyme from 1 species
AUCUAGCUGACGAGUCCAAAAUAGGAGGAAAUGCGCAUCCUGGAU